rnacentral:lncRNA from 1 species
UUGUAGCUGAGAAUUUACUCUAUCAAAUAGUAUUAUUGUGCUCUUUGUAGCCAUUGUAGUUUCCACGGAAAUAAAUAGGAGGUGUUACUUUCAGAGAAUCUACAUACUUUACAGUCAAAAUGUGCUAAAGAUGUUCUAGAAAAAAAGCAAUACUUUCCAAUCAUAAUAAACCCCGACUCUUCAUACUAGAGAAACACUUCUGAAAGUAUUUUGCCUCGAUGACUGUAAAAUGAGGGCAUUAGAUUUUAUUUUUUUACAAAAUAAUAGACGCUCAUAAAACUGGGAUAGCUCUGUAAUUUGUGUUCUGUCAUGGUCCAUGCAUCCACCUGGCACAAUUAUAUCAUAAGUGCUAUGAUGAGCAUUUUGAUUCUUGCAUCUAUUUAAUUUUGGCAAGUCCUUGAUUGCAGCCUUUUGUAUGGAAGCAGCUCCUAGUGCUUAAAAACUGCAGCUAGGAAUUGUGAUAGACAGUAAAUCUAACUGAUUUUGAGCUGAGAACAAUAACUGUAAUGAAGAUUUGCAUUUUUAAAGGCUUGCAAUUGACACCAGUAUUAGCUUCUUCCUCCAGCUAAACUAGUCAAGUUGAACUACCUUUUGCUGAACUUUUGUUGAGUUUUGUAUUUCUUCUGCUUUGUUGACAAACAUAAAGCAUGCAGGUCAUGUGCUGUCCAGGUACAAUUUUGAAUAUUUCUCGUACAAAUGGUUAUCCCAUGAGAGUGAAGCAGCAGGACAAGUCAGUAGAUAGGCCAGGAAUCUAUCGAUCAAACAGUUUAUUCCAGUGCCAUAUCUGAGGCAUUCACAAUAGAUAACCUGAGCCCUACUCUAUUUUGUAAGGCAAAAUUACAUUCUCAGAAGAUAAGAGGAAUUUUUACUCCAUAGAUUCUUUACAUGUUAUGUUUUGCAUGAGUGUUUAACUGUGUUCAGCAACAUAAGUGGAAGUGGUUUACUUGUCCCUUACGCUCCUUCAAUCUUUAGAUGUAGAAAAUCAAUGAGACGUGCACCUUAAUUCAGUUAUUACAGUUUUCUAAACAUUGCCAAAUAUGAAAUAGAACAGUACUAUGGUAGACGAAGUACUAAAGCAUGUCAUUUUGAACACCUUUAAAGUCAUCCGUUCCUCAGGAAGGCUGAAUCCCUAUUCCUUGCAAUGCGGUUUGACUCCUUCUGGCAAUGCUUCUUCAGCUGAAAUCUUUAGCUCAUUUAACCAGUUCAGUAACUGCUAGUAGUCAUAUAGAAGAACAAUUUACCUGAGUUUUCUCUGGGCCAAAUCCUGAGAUUUCUAAUUAAGCUUUAUUGGGUUCUUCAUGAGACAAAAUGAUACAGAGUUUCCCAAGAGUCUUCAGUGGUCUUUGCCUUUAGAAAACCCCAAGUUUAGGCCAUUUAGUAGGAUGCAGAGCAGAUAAUGUGAAGAGCUCACCAAAUGGUGUGCUGUUAAGAUGCAAAGCUAAGAAUGAACCUCUGAGAUAGCCAUGUGGGCUGGAGGUCAAAACCUCUCCUUAUUUUGUUAAUGACACAUAUCCCCUAAUACAUGGAAAUCUUGAUUCUCUGAGGUAAAGUCCUUUACCAGUACAUAAGCAAAAGGAAAUAUUAAUACUUAGCCAUUACAGGCUGGAAAAGAAACACUUGGACAUUCUCACAGAAACUGUGUGUUGCUCUCCAUUUAAGCCACAAGCACUUCUCCAUUCACCUAAUGCCUUUUCUCACUCUUCUGGAUGACCCAGUACAGUAUUUAGAAAAACAAUAAUCUGACCAUGCAUUCAUUCUGUCCUGAAUCUUUGGGUACUCCUAAAACAGGAUAAAAUAGACUACUGUGGUCUACAACAUUAGGUCGAAAGCCUUGCCACACCAGCCUAGAAGUGCCUGACUAUAGACACAAUGUCUUUAUGAUAUUACACCAGGCAGCUAUUUUGACAGCUAUCCCAAAACUCCUAAAUCAAAGAAUACUGUGCAACAAUCUUCUACAUCUGGAUGAACAUUGCUAAUUUAAAAUAAGAGUUAGUAAUUUAGAUUGUGCUUUGCUACUGUAGAUAUUUACUUGAAGUAUGCCUGUGGUUUCUAUGGCAAAAUUACUGUAUUCAUUGUUUUAAUGCUCUAGUACACUAGUUUUCCGAGUACCUUGUAUUUAAAUGACAGUUUGCCAUUAGUUUUAACUGUCUAUAAGAAGAGACGUUCUGAAGUGUAGGAGGGGGGGAGAAAUAAAUGAAUAU